rnacentral:tmRNA from 1 species
GGGGGUGAUCUGGAUUCGACCGGAUGAUUGGAAGCGAUGGCUUGCGUGUCGUGGUUGAUCAGUUGGCCACGUUAAAAGCUGAUCACAAAUUUUUAAUUGCAAACGAAAGUUUCGCACUGGCCGCCUAAUAACAGGUAGCCCGGGUUGAUGGGGGCCGCCAGAGUCGCCUGAAAACCCGUCACAAUUCUGGAUCGUCCUCCGUCCUACUCGAGACGCGGAGGGCUAAAAAAGUUUCGAGUUAGCAGAGUGCGGAGCCUGUCAGGCAGCGCCGGACGAAGUGAAAAGCCUCUUCAAUGAGGCACAAAUAGUCAGACUACACACGUAGACGGUCUCGUGGACGCAUCGCGGGACGCGGGUUCAAUCCCCGCCGCCUCCAC